rnacentral:rRNA from 1 species
UACGGGGGGGGGCAAGCGUUGUUCGGAAUUACUGGGCGUAAAGGGCUCGUAGGCGGCCAACUAAGUCAGACGUGAAAUCCCCAGGCUCAACCUGGGAACUGCGUCUGAUACUGGAUGGCUUGAAUCCGGGAGAGGGAUGCAGAAUUCCAGGUGUAGCGGUGAAAUGCGUAGAUAUCUGGAGGAAUACCGGUGGCGAAGGCGGCAUCCUGGACCGGCAUUGACGCUGAGAAGCGAAAGCAUGGGGAGCGAACAGG